UCUGCUUUGGGAACCCGGGAGGGGCGCUGGUGGGGAAGCGAGGGAAGGGGAGGAGACUGGGGCCGGCGGCCUGCGCUCCAGCCCUCGGAUGUAAACAGUCGGAGAGCGGGGCGAACCUGCCGCACGCCUACCCUGUCCCUGCUCGCGCGGCGCAGUCUGAGCAAGUGCGCUUCUGUGCUGCGUGUUUACAUCAGCGCGGGGGAACAGCUGCCCUCCCCACGGCCAAUACAUCUCGUACCCACGGCCACGCCGAGUGCGUCCCGGGUCGCCAGGCGCCUCCCUUAGGCUGGGCAAAGAGCAACGUUUGGAAAAAUCGGUAGCGCGCGAUAGGAGGCAAGACGGGGUAUUUAUGGGCGCGCUAGGCUGUGGAGAGUGGUAGUGUAGAUGGGUUGAAAGGAUAAAGGUGCGGGAGGAAAAAUGAUGCCUGGAAUUACGAAAACAAGUCAGCAACACAGUGCCACGUCUACGUGGAGAGUGCCUAAUGAAUAAACACCCCCUGCGUCUGUUGGGUGGGUGUAAUGCAUUAUGCGUUACGUGUGCACAGCUAUCUGGAUUGGGCACUUUCCACCCAGAACGAGUCCCCAGUUUGCUGCCAAAGCAGCACACACCGCCCCGCCCUCGGAGACUUCCACGGGCCCCCGCUCGGGAGGCGCUCGCCCCCCCACCCCCCCAGGUCGGGCUCAUCCCCGGGCUCCUCCUGCGAGUUCCGGAGGUGGAGUCCGGGAGGAGCGCGCUGGCGGGUGCGCGCCGCGGGCCACCGGCCCGGACUGCGCUCUCCGCCGGGCUGCGCCCCGGUCCCACCCCCGCGCCUCGCAGGGUUUUAGAGGAGACGAGUGCUCCUUGCGCCCCGUGGCGCCGGUUUGCACCAGAGUCGCGCUCCCGGGUUGGGGAGAAAUUAAAGGCGCUAGACGGGAGAAUUUGGGAGGGGCAGGACCCGACUGCCCUACACAGGGGAAGGGCUGAGCUUGGGGACCCGGCCUGGGGCGGCUGCGGGGACCCUGGUGCAGAAAACCGUUAACUCUUGCCUCCCCGGACACACCGGACGUUUGCGUCCAGUCUGGAUCCUCUCCUCUCUUCAUUAUUGGGGUCGUGAUCGUGCACACAGAAAAAUGCACCGAUUCUGAUCAAAGCUGAGACGAGGACGCAUGACUUCCGUGCCGUGCCCUUUUGUUGGGGGCGGGGUGGGGACUCGAGCUAAUUAAAAAUUGGGUUCAUGGGCGGCAUUCAUUUCCUAGUUCACUGACUUUGAAUUUUUUUUUUUUCUCGAAUACCGUGCUUAAAGUGUUACUGUUACCUGCAAGCCUGUCUACACAGUGCAUGGACACUUCGACCCGCCUUACUACUCGGCCCGAAACCGGAUUUGUCCGCUCGGUGAAUGGAUCUACAGCUAGUAGACAAUGCACGAUCUCGGUAUUUGGUAUUUUGCAUUAUUCCACGGCAGCAAAACAAAAGCAGUCUUCUCAUCGCUGGUCCCAACACAAAAAGCAUUUUAACUAAACUUUUCCCACCCUCCCCCGGCCCUAAAAAAAAAGAAAAGAAAAGAAAAAGAAACUUGGGGGUGUGUGUGCGUGGAUAGUGCACACACUACUCAAGAUAAGUGAUUUCCCAUUGAGUUUGCAGCUCGGCGUUCAAUGCGUAGUAACUUUCCCUACCGAGGUUCACUGCGCAAUUCGGCUUUAAGGCUGGCAGCCGACUGCAGCCUGCAGGCCUUUGCCGCAAACGCGGGGAGCGGCCAGUCCCCAGCUGGGUUCCCUGCAGAGCGCCUCUUCCCCGCCCCCUCCCCGGGCGGCACCCGCGCUCGGCUUCGCGAACGUGAAGUCAGCGCGCCCUCUGCCGGCCGGCGCCUGCCCGGGCGGGGGCGGUGGGGGCAGGGCGCCCGGAGCCCGCGCCGCGAGGCCUCCAGCCACCCCCCAUCCCCCCCGUGGGGGUCCUUUCGCGCCCACCGCGGAGGGCCGGGCCGGGAGGAGGCCGAGCGAGUGGAGGGAAAGUGCUUCAGAGGCGUGCACUCCACCGCACGGGAGGCGGAGGAGGCUAAACCCGGCUGUCCUCGCAAGUGAACUUCGUCCUGAGGGGAAGCAGCGCUCUUCAUGGGACACGUGCGAGAGUCCACAGGACUUACUGUUCCACAUGUCUGCCAUUUUAUAGAUCCCUCCGUCCAGAGUGCAAGGUGCAUUCUCUGCUUCUGGGUCUUAGCAAUCCAGCUUGGAAUGUUAUUACCUACUUCAGUCCUUACUCAAGGAUUCCAUGAGGGGAUGUGUUGUGAGGUCGGCGCCCUGCUCCUUGGUGGGUGUCUGGUGGCGGAUGCACGUUACAGAGGGCAACGCUGAGCUGGCGACUCUGCUUAUCAUUUUGUGCCUCAGAACUACGUGGCCGUCGCCGCACCGUAGACUCCUGCUGUGCCCGUCGUCCAAACGCGCUUGCACCUGCUGUGCCUUCAGUGUGCCUAGCCUGCUGCCCGUGGGCCACACUGGAAUCUGCAGCCUAGCAGCAGCUCUGCAGGGUGGGAUAUGGGGGAGGGAGCAGACGUUGGAAACCGGCCAGGGGACUUCACAGGCCCAACAAAGAAUUUUUUAAAAGGGUUGAUUUGGUAAUAGGCAGAGGGGAAUUCCACAGAUAAAUAAUAAUUUAUGCAAGGAAUGCCAUCUGCCUCUCUGGUGAAGCCUUAGUGGAUAAUUGCAGGCGCAAUUUCCUUCCAUUCCUGCCCUUCUCCAUUCCACUCCUUAAGUAAUGAUAUUGACACCUUCCAAGCUGACUGUUUGGGUGGGUGGAGUGACACAGGGUACCCAGCUUGGAUGUUGGCAGAAGAGGGUUUGCCAUAAAGCUGAAAUAAUUAAUUGGAAUGCAUUAGGGGAUUAAACACUAAAUAAGAACAUAUUGGAGUUCUGGCUGGUAUAUCCAAAUGUUGUGCUGGAAAUUAAUAAAAACUGGCUUCACUGGA